CCUACGGGAGGCUGCAGUGAGGAAUAUUGGUCAAUGGACGAGAGUCUGAACCAGCCAAGUCGCGUGAAUGAUGACUGCCCUAUGGGUUGUAAGCUUCUUUUAUAUGGGAGUAAAAUGUUCCACGUGUGGGAUUUUGUAUGUACCAUAUGAAUAAGGAUAGGCUAACUCCGUGCCAGCAGCCGCGGUCAUACGGAGGAUCCGAGCGUUAUCCGGAUUUAUUGGGUUUAAAGGGAGCGUAGGUGGAUUGUUAAGUCAGUUGUGAAAGUGUGGGGCUCAACCGUAAAAUUGCAGUUGAAACUGGAAGUCUUGAGUAUAGGAGAGGUGGGCGGAAUUCGUGGUGUAGCGGUGAAAUGCUUAGAUAUCACGAAGAACUCCGAUGGCGAAGGCAGCUCACUGGACUGCAACUGACACUGAGGCUCGAAAGUGUGGGUAUCAAACAGGAUUAGAUACCCUAGUAGUC
rnacentral:rRNA from 1 species